UUUGUCUCCACUCUCCGCUUCACUCCAGUCCAGCGGGUGGCGCUAAAACAUACGAUUGUUUGACAAACACCAUUAAACCACAGAGGAAGAAGCUCAUUGGCUUUCUGUUGUUUUGUCUUGAUGCUGGUUUAAUACAGACUGUUAGAAAUGCACCUUCUCUAAAUAGAAAAAUAAGAGUUUUUGAAUCAGGUCAGUAAAUACUUGUAAUAUUCUCAUCCUCACAGUCGUGACUAAGUUUUGAAGCAAGCAGGAAUGUCUGGAGGAGUAUCAUCUGAACUGAGAUCUGCUGCUGUGAAGAUGGAGUUUGUUAAAGAGGAGAGUGAAGAGGACAUCAGUGAACUAGAAACCUGGAGAAUAAAACAUGAAGAACCAGAACCCUUGAUGAUAAAACACGAGGAACCAGAACCCUUGAUAAUAAAACAGGAGGAACAAGGAGUCGUGACUAAGUUUUGAAGCAAGCAGGAAUGUCUGGAGGAGUAUUAUCUGAACUGAGAUCUGCUGCUGUGAAGAUGGAGUUUGUUAAAGAGGAGAGUGAAGAGGACAUCAGUGAACUAGAAACCUGGAGAAUAAAACAUGAAGAACCAGAACCCUUGAUAAUAAAACACGAGGAACCAGAACCCUUGAUAAUAAAACACGAGGAACCAGAACCCUUGAUGAUAAAACACGAGGAACCAGAACCCUUGAUAAUAAAACAGGAGGAACAAGGAGGUUGGUGUUUAUUCUUUAUAAAUCUUGAAUGACUCUUUGUGGUACAUUAGGCUUACAAAGCUUUAAUAAUACUGAC
rnacentral:lncRNA from 1 species